AUGGCUGGGGUGGCACGGGGGUUGAGAACCUACACGGUCGAAGGAGUCGCCGACGCUAGGAGCAGCGACAGGGGCGCGAAGGCUGCGAGGAGCUGUGGAAGAGAAGGAAGGGCGGCGAUUAGCAAGGGAGUUGAGGAGGAAGGAGGCCAAGGUGUUGUGAUCCUAUGGCCGGCCAGCGGUAGAGGGUUAGGAACCACUCCCGAUCGGGUCGAGGGAGAGAGCAAGGAAUUGGGACAAGCUGAGGGGAUCGAGAGCACUCCCUGGCAUCGAUGUGUGGGUGACGAUGUUGGAGGGAGAUGGGGAUCGAGGGGGUGA
rnacentral:rRNA from 1 species